ACAAGUAUACCAAAAUUACAUCAUCAAAAUAUUAAUGCUUUAAAGUGUAUUUCAAUAGUAAUAUCCAAAAGAUUCAUAGUUCAUCCUACAAAAUAAUCACUAAUUCACACUUGGACGAUCAUCAUUGUUACUUUCAUCUAGGGUUGGCAAAAUAGUUAAAAGAACACAGUUAACCACCCAUAUUAUCCACUAAAAAAUGGGUUGGAUAAUGAACUUUUUAAAAAUGGGUCAAAUAUGGAUAAGAACUAUAUUAUCCAUUUAGAAAAUGGAUAAUUAAUGGGUUUAACUUUUACAUUUGUAAAGUCUCAAAUUAGGGGUUCCUCAAGUUUGGGAGACUAGAAAUUCUCCCAAAAGUGUUCAUAUUCAAGAACUCAUGGAUAAUAUGGUUACCCAUAUUAUCCGUCGGUUAACUUAUUUUUUAUCCGUAUUAAAUAUGGGUCGGGUCGGAUAAUUUAUCCGUUUUUUCAUUACCCAUUUUCGACUCGAACCAUAUCCAAUCUGACCCGCUCAUUUUCCGCUCCUACUUUCAUCUAAAGAUCUUCUUGGUUCAACUGUUGAUGGUGCACCGGCCACUUCCUAAAUUUGGUGCCUGAAAAAAAAAGAUAAAAAAUACAGUCAAUAAACAAAUAACUAAACUUUUAACUAGCGAGCUGUAGUAGAACUCCCUAAGUGUUGAAAGAGUUCUGCAACUAUAAUCUAUACAUGUGAAAAAAACUUAGGACUUAAAAUCCUUCUAGUCUUGCAUUUUUUAUUACACUCAAUAUGCUUAUCAGAACAAUUGCAAUCUUCCCAAGUACAGACCAUAUUGAAGAUUCAAAAUCUN
rnacentral:lncRNA from 1 species